AAAUGGUAUCAUAAAAAAGUUGUAUUUUUCCAAAUCCUUCCUCAAUAAUUUGUUAAGUAUAUUUUUCUAAUUAUUUAGGGAUGAAACAAAAUAAAAUAAGUAAAAAAAAAAAAAGACAUUGUUGGAAAACAUUGGAAUCUUGCCAAAGUCGUCGUCUAUCGUUUUUGUAUUUAUCGAAUUAAAUACUAAAAAGAUUACUCUAACUGUUGAACAACCUUUAAUAUGAUUAAUUCAACGUUAUAGGUGAGGAAGGUAAGAUGUUGGUAAAAGUCAU
rnacentral:lncRNA from 1 species